rnacentral:rRNA from 1 species
UACAGAGGUCUCAAGCGUUGUUCGGAUUCAUUGGGCGUAAAGGGUGCGUAGGCGGCGCGGUAAGUCGGGUGUGAAAUCUCGGAGCUUAACUCCGAAAACUGCAUUCGAUACUGCCGUGCUUGAGGACUGGAGAGGAGACUGGAAUUUACGGUGUAGCGGUGAAAUGCGUAGAUAUCGUAAGGAAGACCAGUGGCGAAGGCGGGUCUCUGGACAGUUCCUGACGCUGAGGCACGAAGGUCAGGGGAGCAAAACGGG